rnacentral:rRNA from 1 species
AAAGGAAUUGACGGGGGCCCGCACAAGCAGUGGAUUAUGUGGUUUAAUUCGACGCAACGCGAAGAACCUUACCAGGGCUUGACAUCCCGAUGACCGGUCUAGAGAUAGAUCUUUCACUUCGGUGACAUCGGUGACAGGUGGUGCAUGGUUGUCGUCAGCUCGUGUCGUGAGAUGUUGGGUUAAGUCCCGCAACGAGCGCAACCCCUAUUGUUAGUUGCUACGCAAGAGCACUCUAGCGAGACUGCCGUUGACAAAACGGAGGAAGGUGGGGACGACGUCAAAUCAUCAUGCCCCUUAUGUCCUGGGCUACACACGUAAUACAAUGGUCGUUAACAAAGGGAAGCAAAAUCGCGAGAUGGAGCAAAUCCCCAAAAGCGAUCUCAGUUCGGAUUGCAGGCUGCAACUCGCCUGUAUGAAGUCGGAAUUGCUAGUAAUCGUGGAUCAGCAUGCCACGGUGAAUACGUUCCCGGGCCUUGUACACACCGCCCGU